AGCCGAGAAUUGAUGAGUGGUCGUAAGAUAGCUGACU
rnacentral:snRNA from 2 species